rnacentral:rRNA from 1 species
GACGUAGGGCGCGAGCGUUGUCCGGAUUUAUUGGGCGUAAAGAGCUCGUAGGCGGCUUGUCGCGUCGUCCGUGAAAACUUGGGGCUCAACCCCAAGCUUGCGGUCGAUACGGGCAGGCUAGAGUUCGGUAGGGGAGACUGGAAUUCCUGGUGUAGCGGUGAAAUGCGCAGAUAUCAGGAGGAACACCGGUGGCGAAGGCGGAUCUCUGGGCCGAUACUGACGCUGAGGAGCGAAAGCAUGGGGAGCGAACAGG